rnacentral:rRNA from 1 species
CCGAGAAUAUUCGACAAUGGGCGAAAGCCUGAUCGAGCGAUACCGCGUGGUGGAUGAAGCGCUUCGGCGCGUAAACACCUUUUAUGAGGGAGGAAGUUAUUGACGUUACCUCAUGAAUAAGGGGCUCCUAACUCUGUGCCAGCAGGAGCGGUAAUACAGAGGCCCCAAGCAUUACCCGGAAUCACUGGGCGUAAAGGGUGCGCAGGCGGCUCUGCAAGUCAGAUGUGAAAGCCUGGAGCUCAACUCCAGAACUGCCUUUGAAACUAGGUCGCUAGAAUCACGGAGAGGUGAGUGGAAUUCCGAGUGUAGAGGUGAAAUUCGUAGAUAUUCGGAAGAACACCAGUGGCGAAGGCGGCUCACUGGACGUGUAUUGACGCUGAGGUACGAAAGCGUGGGGAGCAAACAGGAUUAGAUACCCCAGUAGUCCCUGAGCGGGCUGGCAAGGCGCAU